GGGGGGAUCGCCUCAUUUCGGGGGGGGGGUCGCCCCACUUCGGCUCGGGGGGGUCUCCCCACUUCGGGGGGGGGGGGCGGCGGUGGGGGGGGGUCCCCCCACUUCUCCUUCAGUGCGGAAGACCUGGCGCGCUGUUUGGCCGCCCGGGUGUGCGCGUACCAUCUCAGCCCCCGCCCCUUUUUGGCCCCUCCCCCCCCCCGCCCCCCCCCCCACCCCCAUCGGGACCCCCAUCGGGACCCCCCCCCGACCCCCCCUCCCCCCCCCUUCGCCUUUAAGUUGCAGCCCCCCCCGCCCGGGAGGAGGGGGAGGGGGAAAGGAGAGGGAGGUGGGGUUACUUCGGGUCACGGGGGUACUUCCGGUCACGCGGUUACCUCGGGUCACGGGGUUACUUCGGGUGAAAGUGAGGCUUCUGGGGUUACUUCCGGUCAUGGGGUUACUGCGGGUCGCGAGGUCACUUCAGGUCAGAAUGAGGCUGGUGGGGUUACUUCCGGUCAUGGGGUCACCUCAGGUCAAGGAGAGGCUCCCGGGGUCACUUCGGGUCACGGGGUCACUUCGGGUCAAGGAGAGGCAGCUGGGGUCACGCCCGGUCACGGGGUCACUUCCGGUCAAGGGGUCACCUCAGGUCACGGCGGGGGCGAAGGCGACGGGGUCGCUCCGGGUCGCGGGAACGUCAGCCCCGGGGUCGCUUCCGGUCGAGGGGUCACUUCCGGUCCGGGGCUUCCUUCCGGCCACGGGGUCGCUUCCGGUCACGUGCACCCCUCGGCUGGCCCGGGGGGGUCCACCCCUCCCCCCACCCCACCGGAAGUGGACUCGGAGGAAGUGGAGGUCACCGACCUCAGCGAUGAGGACGACGCCGCCGCCCCCCCCCCGCCCCCCCAUCCCCGCCCACCCUCUGGAGGGGGGGGGGAGGAGGAGGGAGGAGGGGGGGGGGUCGGGGGGGGACCCCCCAAACUGCGCUUCAUGAGGAGGUGGAGGGAGGAGGGGG
rnacentral:lncRNA from 1 species